rnacentral:rRNA from 1 species
GCCGUAGGGCGCGAGCGUUGUCCGGAUUUAUUGGGCGUAAAGAGCUCGUAGGCGGCUUGUUGCGUCGACUGUGAAAACCCGCGGCUUAACCGCGGGCUUGCAGUUGAUACGGGCAGGCUAGAGUUCGGUAGGGGAGACUGGAAUUCCUGGUGUAGCGGUGAAAUGCGCAGAUAUCAUGAGGAACACCGGUGGCGAAGGCGGGUCUCUGGGCCGAUACUGACGCUGAGGAGCGAAAGCGUGGGGAGCGAACAGG